rnacentral:misc_RNA from 1 species
GAUGAAGAACGUAGCGAAAUGCGAUAAGUAAUGUGAAUUGCAGAAUUCAGUGAAUCAUCGAAUCUUUGAACGCACAUUGCGCCCGCCAGUAUUCUGGCGGGCAUGCCUGUCUGAGCGUCAUUUCAACCCUCAUGCCCCUAGGGCGUGGUGUUGGGGAUCGGCCAAAGCCCGCGAGGGACGGCCGGCCCCUAAAUCUAGUGGCGGACCCGUCGUGGCCUCCUCUGCGAAGUAGUGUUAUUCCGCAUCGGAGAGCGACGAGCCCCUGCCGUUAAACCCCCAACUUUCCAAGGUUGACCUCAGAUCAGGUAGGAAUACCCGCUGAACUUAAGCAUAUCAAUAAGCGGAGGA